AGAGUUUGAUUAUGGCUCAGAACGAACGCUGGCGGCGUGGAUUAGGCAUGCAAGUCGAGCGAGAAAGCGGGCUUGUCCCGUGAGUAAAGCGGCGGAAGGGUGAGUAAUACGUAGAUAACCUGCCCCCAAGUUGGGAAUAACCACCGGAAACGGUGACUAAUGCCUGAUGUGGACACGUGAUUGCGGUUACGUGUCUAAAGAUGGCCUCUACAUGUAAGCUUUCGCUUGGGGAGGGGUCUACGGCCUAUUAGCUAGUUGGUGAGGUAAUGGCUCACCAAGGCUGUGAUGGGUAGCCGACCUGAGAGGGCGACCGGCCACACUGGGACUGAGACACUGCCCAGACUCCUACGGGAGGCUGCAGUCGAGAAUCAUUCGCAAUGGGCGCAAGCCUGACGAUGCGACGCCGCGUGCGGGAAGAAGGCCUUCGGGUUGUAAACCGCUGUCACCCGUUAAGAAAGGCAUAGUGGGGAAUAUCCGCUGUGUUUGACAAAGGCGGGGGAGGAAGCCACGGCUAACUUCGUGCCAGCAGCCGCGGUAAU
rnacentral:rRNA from 1 species